UCUAAUACAAAAAUGGUGGUCUCUAUACAUAUACGGGUACAACUCUCAACCUCUCACAAAAAGAAAACACGAGAGGUAAACCACCUAUCGAACGAUCCCUCGGUAAGCACGCUAGCCCGAGGCGAUACCCUUUCCGCGAUCCCUGGCCUCUCCCUGCGUGGAAGGCUCUGAAAAACAUCGAGAAAAAGAGGGCGUGAGAACUAUAAUUUAUAGUUCCCAGUGGGCAAUUACUGACCUCAGCUCUAUGCACCACUAGGCCCCAAAAGAAGAGGGUAAGUACAAUAAUAAUAGCAAUAAUGACUGCGAUAUAAAGGCAUAAUUAAAAGGCUAAAUUACUAAACUCAAGUAUAAACGAUGUCAUGGUGAU
rnacentral:lncRNA from 1 species